rnacentral:rRNA from 1 species
GUCGAACGCUGGCGGCGUGCCUAAUACAUGCAAGUCGAGCGGAGCGGCGGACGGGUGCGUAAUGCCUAGGCAUCUGCCUGGUCGUGGGGGAUAACGUCCGGAACCGGGCGCUAAUACCGCAUCCUAUCAUAUGAGCCUAGGUCGGAUUAGCUAGUUGGUGGGGUAAAGGCCUAACAAGGCGACGAUCCGUAACUGGUCUGAGAGGAUGAUCAGUCACACUUGAACUGAGACACGGUCCAGACUUCUACGGUAGGCAGCAGUGGGGAAUAUUGGACAAUGGGCGAAAGCCUGAUCCAGCCAUGCCGCGUGUAUGAAGAAGGUCUUCGGAUUGUAAAGCACUUUAAGCUGGGAGGCGUUACCAACAGAAUAAGCACCGGCUAACUGCGUGCCAGCAGCCGCGGUAAUAC